rfam:Ovis aries breed Texel chromosome 17, whole genome shotgun sequence.
AAAAGGGGCCAUACCGCCUUGAACAUGGCCAAUCUCGUCUGAUCUCAGAAGCUGAGCAGGGUUGGGCCUGGUUAGUACUUGGAUGGGGCUUCCCUGGUGGCUCAGAUG